AGACCCGAAACCCGGUGAUCUAGCCAUGGGCAGGUUGAAGGUUGGGUAACACUAACUGGAGGACCGAACCGACUAAUGUUGAAAAAUUAGCGGAUGACCUGUGGCUGGGGGUGAAAGGCCAAUCAAACCGGGAGAUAGCUGGUUCUCCCCGAAAGCUAUUUAGGUAGCGCCUCGUGAAUUCAUCUCCGGGGGUAGAGCACUGUUUCGGCUAGGGGGCCAUCCCGGCUUACCAACCCGAUGCAAACUGCGAAUACCGGAGAAUGUUAUCACGGGAGACACACGGCGGGUGCUAACGUCCGUCGUGAAGAGGGAAACAACCCAGACCGCCAGCUAAGGUCCCAAAGUCAUGGUUAAGUGGGAAACGAUGUGGGAAGGCCCAGACAGCCAGGAUGUUGGCUUAGAAGCAGCCAUCAUUUAAAGAAAGCGUAAUAGCUCACUGGUCGAGUCGGCCUGCGCGGAAGAUGUAACGGGGCUAAACCAUGCACCGAAGCUGCGGCAGCGAACGUAUCACCCAAGACAACUUUGCGGAGUUGACGAUUGACGGAGCGAAGCGACGUCAAAGCGUUCAUUAAAGUCGAGUUGGCUUAGGGAUACGUUCGUUGGGUAGGGGAGCGUUCUGUAAGCCAGUGAAGGUGUGUCGUGAGGCAUGCUGGAGGUAUCAGAAGUGCGAAUGCUGACAUAAGUAACGAUAAAGCGGGUGAAAAGCCCGCUCGCCGGAAGACCAAGGGUUCCUGUCCAACGUUAAUCGGGGCAGGGUGAGUCGACCCCUAAGGCG
rnacentral:rRNA from 1 species